UAUUGAAAAAGCCAAGUUCAUCGCGAGGUGGGUACGGAAAGUUAUGGGUCUCACGUAGAUCGCCAGACUACCAAU
rnacentral:ncRNA from 1 species